rnacentral:rRNA from 1 species
AACGGCGUCGAGCGGCGGACGGGUGAGUAAUGCCUAGGAAAUUGCCCUGAUGUGGGGGAUAACCAUUGGAAACGAUGGCUAAUACCGCAUGAUGCCUACGGGCCAAAGAGGGGGACCUUCGGGCCUCUCGCGUCAGGAUAUGCCUAGGUGGGAUUAGCUAGUUGGUGAGGUAAGGGCUCACCAAGGCGACGAUCCCUAGCUGGUCUGAGAGGAUGAUCAGCCACACUGGAACUGAGACACGGUCCAGACUCCUACGGGAGGCAGCAGUGGGGAAUAUUGCACAAUGGGCGCAAGCCUGAUGCAGCCAUGCCGCGUGUGUGAAGAAGGCCUUCGGGUUGUAAAGCACUUUCAGUCGUGAGGAAGGUGGUGUAGUUAAUAGCUGUAUUAUUUGACGUUAGCGACAGAAGAAGCACCGGCUAACUCCGUGCCAGCAGCCGCGGUAAUACGGAGGGUGCGAGCGUUAAUCGGAAUUACUGGGCGUAAAGCGCAUGCAGGUGGUUUGUUAAGUCAGAUGUGAAAGCCCGGGGCUCAACCUCGGAAUUGCAUUUGAAACUGGCAGACUAGAGUACUGUAGAGGGGGGUAGAAUUUCAGGUGUAGCGGUGAAAUGCGUAGAGAUCUGAAGGAAUACCGGUGGCGAAGGCGGCCCCCUGGACAGAUACUGACACUCAGAUGCGAAAGCGUGGGGAGCAAACAGGAUUAGAUACCCUGGUAGUCCACGCCGUAAACGAUGUCUACUUGGAGGUUGUGGCCUUGAGCCGUGGCUUUCGGAGCUAACGCGUUAAGUAGACCGCCUGGGGAGUACGGUCGCAAGAUUAAAACUCAAAUGAAUUGACGGGGGCCCGCACAAGCGGUGGAGCAUGUGGUUUAAUUCGAUGCAACGCGAAGAACCUUACCUACUCUUGACAUCCAGAGAACUUUCCAGAGAUGGAUUGGUGCCUUCGGGAACUCUGA